GUCACUGCUGUGGUUUAUAUCUAGAGGUACCCUGAAAGCUUCAUGGGAUCACAGGCGGAAACUUUGGAAAGUGAUUCCGGCUCUUUCCUCGACUCUCUCUGCUUCUGUCACCAUGCCACAAGCAGCUCACCUCCACCAGGCCCCUGUGCCAUGCUGUCCUGCCUUGGAAUCAGCCAACUCUGAACUGAAACACAAGCCAGAAAGAGUCUCUCCUCCCUUAAGCCACAGGUGUCAGGAGCCUGGCGAGAGAGGAUGACGGACGUACUGUGAGGCCCUGGACAGGAUCCUGGGGCAGGAAAAGAACACCAGGAAAAAGCACGGAAGUCCCAAUAAAGUGUGGGCUUUCAGCA